ensembl:misc_RNA 7SK 7SK RNA
GAAUGUGAGGAUGAUUUGGCUGCUUGUGGACAUCUGUCACCGUAUUGGUCGCCAAGGUUGAUUUGGCUGGCCUGACUGGCUAGACAGGUGUCCCCAUCCUUCCUCACCCCUCCAUGUGCAUCGUUCUUGAAACUGUGCAGUAGGUUGAAGAGGACAGCGUUCCCCCUAUAGAAGUGAACUGGUCUUCAGGUGAGGAUAUAUGAAUAGCUGUGCUCCUCUGUGAGACCCUCCAAACAGAUCUCAAAAAAUUAAUAAAUCUUAAGAAAAAUUAAGACAGGCAGAGGAAAUUGCUGCAAUGCGGGGAAACUCAGUGGAACUGAACUGGAGAUAUUUCUG